ACGCUUAUAAAUCAACAUAUUGAUUUAUAAGCAUGGAAAUCCCCUGAGUGAAACAACGAAUUGCUGUGUGUAGUCUUUGCCCAUCUCCCACGAUGGGCUUUUUUUUAA
rnacentral:other from 1 species